rnacentral:rRNA from 1 species
UUGUUUUGUGCGGUAAAGCGAAUGAUUAGCGUAUUUGGGGGCGAUUAGCCUUCGGACGAUUCUCAAACUUUCAAUGCGCAAGGGUGUUGCUGCUUAAUUGAGCUUCACCGGUAAAAACGUCGGCCCUGUGGGCCACUUUUGGUAAGCAGAACUGGCGAUACGGGAUGAACCGUAAGCAUGGUUAAGGUGCCAAACUAUUCGCUUAUAGAUCCCACAAAAGGUGUUGAUUCAUCGAGACAGCAGGACGGUGGCCAUGGAAGUCGGAAUCCGCCAAGGAGUGUGUAACAACUCACCUGCCGAAUGAAUUAGCCCUGAAAAUGGAUGGCGCUUAAGCGGAUGACCGACACCAUGCCGUCUGAAUGAUAAAAUUUCAGAUGAGUAGGAGGACGUGGUGAUCGUGACGAAGUAUGUGUGCGAACACGUAUCGAACGAUCACUAGUGCAGAUCUUGGUGGUAGUAGCAAAUAUUCAAGCGAGAUCCUUGAAGGGCGAAGCGGGGAAGGGUUCCACGCUAACAUUGAUUGGGCGUGGGUGAGUCGUUCCUAAGCCGAGUGGCAAUUGCUAAGUAACGGCGAAAGGGAAGCAGGUUUACAUUCCUGCACACGGAUGUGGAGGCGGUGACGCUUUAUUGAGGCGAACACAUUGGCGAUGGCGCUGGGCAGAGUUGUCUUUUCUGUUUGACCGUUUGUAUAUAUGGUGUGGAGUCCGAUUAUCGGGAGAAACACAUAUAUACGGGCAGAGCGCCGGGGCUUAUCCGGCGUCCAGCUCGCCAUCGACGAUCCUUGAAACUUUGCCUGCUGAAUUUUAAUAUCCACGCCGUGGCGUACCGAUCACCGCAUCAGGUCCCCGAGGUGAACAGCCUCUGCUCAAUAUGAAAAAUGCAGGUAAGGGAAGUCGGCAAAUUAGACCCGUAACUUUGGGAAAAGGGUUGGCUCUAGUGCUGCGUGGGAGUGGUUGUCAUGUGGUGGCGUUAUUGAGGCUGUUGAUAUGGUGUGAUACUUCGGUAUUGUGCUUUUCGACUGGUUUUGGUAAUGCUGCUCUUGACGACGCCCACAGCAUGCAGCAAACUAGAACUGCAACGGGCAAAGGGAAUCCGACUGUUUAAUUAAAACAAAGCAUUGCGAGG